CUACGGGGGGCUGCAGUGAGGAAUAUUGCACAAUGGGGGGAACCCUGAUGCAGCAACGCCGCGUGGAGGAUGACGCAUUUCGGUGUGUAAACUCCUUUUAUAUGUCAAGAAAAUGACGGUAGCAUAUGAAUAAGCACCGGCUAACUCCGUGCCAGCAGCCGCGGUGAAUACGGAGGGUGCAAGCGUUACUCGGAAUCACUGGGCGUAAAGGACGCGUAGGCGGGUUGGAAAGUCAGGUGUGAAAUCCUACAGCUUAACUGUAGAACUGCACUUGAAACUUCUAAUCUAGAGUAUGGGAGGGGGAGAUGGAAUUAGUGGUGUAGGGGUAAAAUCCGUAGAUAUCACUAGGAAUACCUAAAGCGAAGGCGAUCUCCUGGAACAUUACUGACGCUAAGGCGUGAAAGCGUGGGGAGCAAACAGGAUUAGAUACCCGGGUAGUC
rnacentral:rRNA from 1 species